GGAUAUAUGGAGUAGUGGUUAGGGCACAGGACCCUGGACCCCAGGGUUGUGGGAUCGAACCCCAGUGGAUACA